rfam:Ictidomys tridecemlineatus contig102961, whole genome shotgun sequence.
GGUUAUAGCUCAGUGGUAGGGCACUUUCCUAGCAUGAAUGAGGCCUUGGGUUUAACCCCAAGUACAACCA